rnacentral:rRNA from 1 species
AUGUGACUGUGGAUCGAGCCCAUGUGAAGCCUCUUCGACGAGUCGAGUUGUUUGGGAAUGCAGCUCAAAAUGGGUGGUAAAUUUCAUCUAAAGCUAAAUACUGGCUGGAGACCGAUAGCGCACAAGUAGAGUGAUCGAAAGAUGAAAAGCACUUUGGAAAGAGAGUCAAACAGUACGUGAAAUUGUUGAAAGGGAAGCGCUUGCAACCAGACCUGUCCGUAGGUGAUCAGCCGCUGUUCUCAGUGGUGCACUCGCUCUGCGAUCAGGCCAGCAUCGGUUCGGGCGGUCGGAUAAAGGCCUUGGGAAUGUAGCUUCCUUCGGGGAGCCUUAUAGCCCUCGGUGCAAUGCGGCCAGCCGGGACCGAGGACCGCGCUUCGGCUAGGAUGCUGGCGUAA